rnacentral:rRNA from 1 species
UUGGUUAAGUUAGAAAGGGCGCACGGUGGAUGCCUUGGCACUAGGAGCCGAAGAAGGACGGGACUAACACCGAUAUGCUUUGGGGAGCUGUACGUAAGCGUUGAUCCAGAGAUUUCCGAAUGGGGGAACCCACUAUCUUUAGUCGGAUAGUAUCCUUACGUGAAUACAUAGCGUGAGGAAGGCAGACCCAGGGAACUGAAACAUCUAAGUACCUGGAGGAAGAGAAAGAAAAAUCGAUUUCCUGAGUAGCGGCGAGCGAAACGGAAAGAGCCCAAACCAAGAAGCUUGCUUCUUGGGGUUGUAGGACACUCUAUACGGAGUUACAAAAGAAAGUUAUAAAUGAAGCGGUCUGGAAAGGCCCGCCAAAGACGGUAACAGCCCGGUAGUUGAAAUGGCUUUCCCUCCAGAGUGGAUCCUGAGUACGGCGGAACACGUGAAAUUCCGUCGGAAUCCGGGAGGACCAUCUCCCAAGGCUAAAUACUCCCUAGUGACCGAUAGUGAACCAGUACCGUGAGGGAAAGGUGAAAAGCACCCCGGAAGGGGAGUGAAACAGUUCCUGAAACCGUGUGCCUACAAGUAGUUAGAGCCCGUUAAUGGGUGAUAGCGUGCCUUUUGUAGAAUGAACCGGCGAGUUACGAUUUGUUGCAAGGUUAAGCGGNGGAGCCGUAGCGAAAGCGAGUCUGAAUAGGGCGCAUAAGUAACAGGUCGUAGACCCGAAACCAGGUGAUCUACCCAUGUCCAGGAUGAAGGUAAGGUAAUACUUACUGGAGGUCCGAACCCACGCACGUUGAAAAGUGCGGGGAUGAGGUGUGGGUAGCGGAGAAAUUCCAAUCGAACUUGGAGAUAGCUGGUUCUCUCCGAAAUAGCUUUAGGGCUAGCCUCGAGGUAAAGAGUCAUGGAGGUAGAGCACUGUUUGGACUAGGGGCCCUUCUCGGGUUACCGAAUUCAGAUAAACUCCGAAUGCCAUGUACUUAUACUCGGGAGUCAGACUGCGAGUGAUAAGAUCCGUAGUCGAAAGGGAAACAGCCCAGACCACCAGUUAAGGUCCCCAAAUAUAUGUUAAGUGGAAAAGGAUGUGGGGUUGCUUAGACAACCAGGAUGUUGGCUUAGAAGCAGCCACCAUUGAAAGAGUGCGUAAUAGCUCACUGGUCGAGUGACCCCGCGCCGAAAAUGUACCGGGGCUAAACAUAUUACCGAAACUGUGGAUGAACCUCUUUAGAGGUUCGUGGUAGGAGAGCGUUCUAAGGGCGGUGAAGUCAGACCGGAAGGACUGGUGGAGCGCUUAGAAGUGAGAAUGCCGGUAUGAGUAGCGAAAGAAGGGUGAGAAUCCCUUCCACCGAAUAUCUAAGGUUUCCUGAGGAAGGCUCGUCCGCUCAGGGUUAGUCGGGACCUAAGCCGAGGCCGAUAGGCGUAGGCGAUGGACAACAGGUAGAGAUUCCUGUACCAGUGCUAAUUGUUUAACCGAUGGGGUGACACAGAAGGAUAGGGAAUCGCACGAAUGGAAAUGUGCGUCCAAGCAGUGAGUGUGAGAAGUAGGCAAAUCCGCUUCUCGCGAAGCAUGAGCUGUGAUGGGGAAGGAAAUUAAGUACGGAAGUUCCUGAUUUCACGCUGUCAAGAAAAGCCUCUAGGAAGAGUAGUACUGCCCGUACCGCAAACCGACACAGGUAGAUGAGGAGAGAAUCCUAAGGUGAGCGAGAGAACUCUCGUUAAGGAACUCGGCAAAAUGACCCCGUAACUUCGGGAGAAGGGGUGCUCUAUUAGGGUGCAAGCCCGAGAGAGCCGCAGUGAAUAGGCCCAGGCGACUGUUUAGCAAAAACACAGGUCUCUGCAAAACCGUAAGGUGACGUAUAGGGGCUGACGCCUGCCCGGUGCUGGAAGGUUAAGAGGAGUGCUUAGCUUCGGCGAAGGUACGAAUUGAAGCCCCAGUAAACGGCGGCCGUAACUAUAACGGUCCUAAGGUAGCGAAAUUCCUUGUCGGGUAAGUUCCGACCCGCACGAAAGGCGCAACGAUCUGGGCACUGUCUCAACGAGAGACUCGGUGAAAUUAUAGUACCUGUGAAGAUGCAGGUUACCCGCGACAGGACGGAAAGACCCCGUGGAGCUUUACUGCAACCUGAUAUGGAAUGUUUGUACCGCUUGUACAGGAUAGGUAGGAGCCGAAGAGACGUGUGCGCUAGCAUACGAGGAGGCAAUGGUGGGAUACUNUCCCUCAGAAUGGAUGGAAAUCAUUCGCAGAGUGUAAAGGCACAAGGGAGCUUGACUGCGAGACUGACAAGUCGAGCAGGGACGAAAGUCGGGCUUAGUGAUCCGGUGGUUCCGCAUGGAAGGGCCAUCGCUCAACGGAUAAAAGCUACCCCGGGGAUAACAGGCUUAUCUCCCCCAAGAGUCCACAUCGACGGGGAGGUUUGGCACCUCGAUGUCGGCUCGUCGCAUCCUGGGGCUGUAGUCGGUCCCAAGGGUUGGGCUGUUCGCCCAUUAAAGCGGCACGCGAGCUGGGUUCAGAACGUCGUGAGACAGUUCGGUCCCUAUCCGUCGCGGGCGCAGGAAAUUUGAGAGGAGCUGUCCUUAGUACGAGAGGACCGGGAUGGACACACCGCUGGUGUACCAGUUGUUCCGCCAGGAGCAUCGCUGGGUAGCUAUGUGUGGCAGGGAUAAACGCUGAAAGCAUCUAAGCGUGAAGCCCCCCUCAAGAUGAGAUUUCCCAUUUCUUCGGAAAGUAAGAUCCCUGAAAGAUGAUCAGGUAGAUAGGUUUGGAGUGGAAGUGUAGCGAUACAUGGAGCGGACAAAUACUAAUCGAUCGAGGACUUAACCAAAA